CCUACGGGUGGCAGCAGUGAGGAAUAUUGGUCAAUGGGCGGGAGCCUGAACCAGCCAAGUCGCGUGAGGGACGACGGUCCUAUGGAUUGUAAACCUCUUCUGUCGGGGAACAAAGGCGCCCACGUGCGGGCGGAUGAGUGUACCCGAAGAAAAAGCAUCGGCUAACUCCGCGCCAGCAGCCGCGGUAAUACGGAGGAUGCGAGCGUUAUCCGGAUUUAUUGGGUUAAAGGGGUGCGUAGGCGGACAGUCAAGUCAGCGGUAAAAAUUGGGUGCUAAACGCCGUACAGCCGUUGAAACUGGCAGUCUAGAGUGGGCGAGAGGUAUGCGGAAUGCGUGGUGUAGCGGUGAAAUGCAGAGAUAUCACGAAGAACUCCGAUUGCGAAGGCAGCAUACCGGCGCCCGACUGACGCUGAGGCACGAAAGCGUGGGUAUCGAACAGGAUUAGAUACCCGAGUAGUC
rnacentral:rRNA from 1 species